GGACAUAGGGGGGAGGGGGGUUUUUAGCAAUCCGGAUGUCCGAAAUUUAAAAAAAUUCAAAAACAAAUUUCUUUUUUCCCUCUAUUUUGAGCAGUCCUUCCCAUUGUGAAAUUGGCAUUUUGACUAUGCGGUUAACACUAGAUUUUGUUUUAAUUAGUAAUUUAUAUGUUUUUGUGUUCACAUUUACAGUUAUAAAAAAGUUCUAAAAGUUUUUUACUCUUGAUACAUACAAGGUUGCGUGAGUUUUUGCGAGGCAUGGCGGAUGUCCGGGGGGAGGGGGGGGGUCACUAAUUCGGACAAUGCCGGACAAGGGGGGGGGGGGGGGGGUCUGAAAAUCUAUAAUUUGGCCGGACAUCCUUUGUGAAUGGCCCCUAAGUUGUUCCAACAACACUAAUAUUCAGUGAAUAUUAUUAUUCACUGAACUUGUUCUUAUCAAUUUGUUAACAACUUGUUACGUAUACGUGCAAAUGAUAUCAGAUUUGUUGGAACCACUGAUCUAAUAUUAGAUCAGUGGUUGGAACAGCUUGUUGCCAGUCUGUUGGCCUCAUCGGCUCACCAACCUUGUUACAAGAUGAUGACAACUUGUUCCAGACUUGUCAACAACUGGGAACAAGCAGUGCGAACACAUCUUGUUGACAAGCUGUGGGAUUUUACGUGUAUGGGAUUUGAAUGGAACUAAUCUAACCAAGUAUUUAAAUUAUAGACCAUUAUAGAUGCAAGUGAAUUGGGCGGCAACGUUCAUGAACACGUAUUCGCGCAGACAUUGCACACUGCACAGAUACUAUGUGGUGCAUAAAUUAAAUAUGUUUAUUAAAUUAACCAUGUAAA